GUACGGAGGGUGCGAGCGUUGUCCGGAAUCAUUGGGCGUAAAGGGCGCGUAGGUGGCGGGACAAGCGUGCGGUGAAAGCCUGGGGCUCAACCCCGGGUCGGCCGUGCGAACUGUUUUGCUUGAGCACUGUAGAGGCAGGCGGAAUUCCGGGUGUAGCGGUGGAAUGCGUAGAGAUCCGGAAGAACACCGGUGGCGAAGGCGGCCUGCUGGGCAGUAGCUGACACUGAGGCGCGACAGCGUGGGGAGCAAACAGG
rnacentral:rRNA from 1 species